rnacentral:rRNA from 1 species
AACGGCCGUACCAUGCUGAAUAUACCGGUUCUCGUUAGAUCACCGAAGUUAAGCAUCAUUGGGCGCGGUCAGUACUUGGGUGGGUGACCACCUGGGCACACCGCGUGCCGUU